rnacentral:rRNA from 1 species
CCUACGGGGGGCUGCAGUCGAGAAUCAUUCACAAUGGAGGAAACCCUGAUGGUGCGACGCCGCGUGGGGGAAUGAAGGUCUUCGGAUUGUAAACCCCUGUCAUGUGGGAGCAAAUUAAAAAGAUAGUACCACAAGAGGAAGAGACGGCUAACUCUGUGCCAGCAGCCGCGGUAAUACAGAGGUCUCAAGCGUUGUUCGGAAUCACUGGGCGUAAAGCGUGCGUAGGCUGUUGCGUAAGUGGUGUGUGAAAGGCGCGGGCUCAACCCGCGAACGGCACAUGAUACUGCGAGACUAGAGUAGUGGAGGGGGAACCGGAAUGCUCGGUGUAGCAGUGAAAUGCGUAGAUAUCGAGAGGAACACUCGUGGCGAAGGCAGGUUCCUGGACAUUAACUGACGCUGAGGCACGAAGGCGAGGGGAGCGAAAGGGAUUAGAUACCCCGGUAGUC